UUCUCCGAUGAUGACCUAAAUAAUACUUUCGUUCUUCUGAAAUUCACAAUGUGGAAGAACUGGAGACCUGAACUGAGGAGAC
rfam:Triticum aestivum genome assembly, contig: Triticum_aestivum_CS42_TGACv1_scaffold_393498_5AS